AACAUCAAACAAAAAUGACGUGUAAAAUAAUCAUGAAAAGUGCUAGUUUAAUACUUUAAAUACUUCUUGCCGAUUUUAAACUGUAUUCAUUUUCUUGUCUGUCACAAUUAAUUAACCAAUAUUAUACCAGUUUAAUUGUUAAUCUUAUUUGGUGGUAACCUAUUUAGGUUACAGGCAGAUUAUUUUUCAACAUCAUCAUCUAUAUCACCGUCAUCACCAUAACCAUCUUCACCCUUGGUUGUUUUCCUCAUCAUAUUUUGCUUUACUCUCAUCAUUUACUGAAAUUGGAAAAUUUUUUGACUUUUAAUUCCUUUCUUUCCUAAUCUCUUUUUGUUAGCAUUUAUCCAAUUUAAUUGUGUUCAUCUCGUUUUUCUACCUUUUGGAAAAUUUGUGCAUUAAUCUACACUACAAUACUUCAAAUCACUUGACACCACCUAACCUUUCUCCUUGCUUAAUUCAACUGAUCUUCCUCUUCCACUUUAAUUUCUAUAUAAUUUAUUUAAUUUUCUGUUGUGCAUUUAUUUAAACAAGUCAUUUCAUUAUUGUGUUCUUUAAAAUUAUUCAACGUUUAUUUAAAAUUUAUUCAUUUUUUUGUCUCAUCUGAAAAAAACAAGAAAAUAUGGAAGUUGAUCUUUUGACUGCAUCAAUAUGUGUAUCCGUGGCCCUUGUUUCAGCAGUUGCUGUCUAUCUUGGUUCCGUCUUUAUUAUCAAAGAAAAAACUUUCGAUGAAGCAAUUGAGGAACAGAGAAAACUAACCUUGUUAGACUUCGGCAGUGACAUUAAGGGCGGUGGAGGUAAAAAAAGUGAAAAGGAUAAAAAAUCUAAGAAAGACAAGAAGGAUAAGGAUAAAGAUAAAGACAAAGAUAAAAAGAAAAAGAAAAAUGAGGCCGUUAAGGGUGGGGGUAGUGGUGAAAAAAUUAAACCAGGUAUCCCCGAAAAGGAAGGUAAUAAAACAGUGAAAGCUAAAACCGUUGAGAAGAAGGAAUUGGCUGUUGCACCACCAGCUAGUAAUGUUGAAGACCAAGCCGGUGCCAAUGUGCCUGCUAACUCUGGUUCAACAGUAAAAAUUGAAAAAACUCCACCAAUUAAUCAAUCAAAGGCGAAAUCAUCUGAAGAUAUUCAACAGCCUAAACCUGUUAACACUUCUAAGGUUUCUAGUGACACAGGUUCCCAGCAAGUGUCACCAGCUCCAGAUGAAAACAAAAUUGUAUCACCAAGUCAACCAGUGUCUCCAUCUAAAAAGAAAGCUAGUGCUACUGUUGUCCAAACUCAAGUAAAGGACACGGUUGACCAGAAAAAGAGUGAAAUUAAAGGCAAUACCUCAGGCACCGGUAAUCAAAAGGUUAAGCCAGGCAAAAAAGGCGAUAUUGGAGAACCGGCUCAAGUUGGAGUGAGUAAUAUUAAGGAGGAUACUCUUAAAGGCGCUGCUGGUAAGGAAAAUAAGGGGAAACAAGGCGUGGAGGGAACAGGUAUUCCAGUCAAUGAAUCAAAGAAGGAAGCUGGUGAUGCUAAACCUGUCCGAGAACCAAAAAACAGGGAAAUCAGAGAAAGCAAACCUAAAGAAAUUUCUCGUGACACUUUAGAUGCUGGUGUUAAAGAGGCAUCAGCAAGUCGUCAAGUUGAUGGUUUAGCUAUCGUUGAAGAAACUGUUAAAUCUGAAGAAGCUAAAGGUAACCUCGCUUCACCAGGCAAAAAGGCAAAGAAACCGAAAAGUUCUUCUAAAACUGAUUCUGGACGUUUGGAUUAUGAUUUGUCUUUCAAGCAAUUGAUGGAUCAUGUUAAUAACCAUCCAUUCGAUAGUGAAGAAAUUCAAUUAUUGAUCAACGUUCUACUUGGAAAGCAAAGUGAUGAAACUAAUCAAUGGAAAAAGAAACAUGAUCCCAUGGAAUCCAUUAAAGAACAAUUGCAUGAAAAGGAACAAGAGGCUGCUACAUUGUCUCAGAAUCUUCAGCAAACUCGAGCUCGUAUGAAGGAACUUCGUUUGGAUCUAGAGCGUGAAAAAAGUAUUCAUGCUAUGACCAAAGAAAAAUUGGGACAACAUGGGACAGAAUUGAACAAUUUAAAAAACUCUUUGCAACAAGCUAUUGAACAACAAAGAAUGGAAACUAAAGUAUUGCAAGGUAAAUUGAAAGAACAAGAUUCUGAUCUUCAAGCUCGUAAUAUUGCCAUUCAACGACUUAACGAAGAAACUGUCAAUCUGAAACUGGCACUGCAACAAAUGGAAGCAGAAAGAGCUAAUUUGGAAAGUAUUCCACGUCUUCAACAUGAAAUUGAACGUCUACGAGCUGAACGAGGUCAAAUGGAACGCCAUUCACAGGCUCUUCAACAAAACAACGAGGAACUUCUACGCAAUAUGGAAAAAAUGAGUGAGCAGAUUAAAUCUCUGAAUGCACAAAACAAUACUAAACAAAAUGAAGAAUAUUCUCUACAAAAAAAGCUGAAAGAAUUGCAAGAGCAAUUGCGACAACAUGAUGCUAACAAAGCUGCUUUGUUGGAAGAUUAUAAAUCAUCUGUUGACAAAAUGCAAAAGGUUGAACAAGAAAAACAAAUGAUCGAAAAAGAGAAACAAAUGGUUGAAAAGAAAAGUGAAGAUGAAAUGAAAAAUCUGAGGGAGAAAAUUCGCCAAUUGGAACAAGAAAAAGAACGCUUACAAGAAGCUUCGCAUAACAAGGCUUCAUCAGACGAAGAAAAAGAUGGCAUCAUUAAUCGUCUUAAAGAUGAGAUUAAUAACUUGAACAAUGAACGAGGAAGGUAUGAAGAAGAAUUAAAGCGAGCUAAUAAGGCUGCUGAUGAUAUCAAACAAGAAUUGGAUCUUGUAAAGAAAGAGAGUGAAGUCAAAGUUAAUGAAGCUUUGACUAAAUCAAGAGCAGCUUUUGAGGAGCAGCUCAAAAAAGAAUUAGAAAAGGUUAAUAAAGACAAAGAGUCUGUAGAGAAGCAACUCUCUGAAAUAUCUUCAGAGAAAGUCUCACUUGAGGCUGAAAAGGCUCGAUUCAAAGAAUCGCUGCUUAAAAUUAAUCAACAAGAACAAGACAUUUUUAAAAGUUUGGACCAGUUAAUUGAUGAAUUAGUUACAUUAAGAGCUGAAAAGGCUGAUAAUUCACAAGUUGAAAAAUUAGAAUUAGAAUUGAAUACAGUUAGGAGCAAUUUAAAGAAUGAACAAGACAGACUAGAGAAAGCUGAAGCUGAAGCUGAAAAGUUCAAAGACACAUUAAGCAAAACGGAUGAGUACCUCAAAGUAUUGGAGCAAAAAUCUAAAGAAGCUUUUGAACAGUCUACAAAUGCAACGAAAGAGUGUCAACGAUUGCAAGAGCUGGUAGAUAAAUUGGAACAAGAUAAAAGUGUUCUUGAAAGUAACCUAUCUCAAGUGGAUAAUCUUAAAAAAACUAUAAAAGAUCUUCAAGCCAAAAAUGAUGAGCUUCAACUUAAAUUAGAUGUUGAUAAUAAAGUAGAACUGAUAGAAGAGCCCGCUCAAGAGAAUGGCAAAGAGGAGCAAAAUGGUAAAGUCGAUGAAGUUAAUGAAGAGACCGAUAAUAAUGAUGAGGCCAAGUUAUCAACAAUAUGAGCAUCCCUAUAAUAUAAUCACGGUUGAUAUCAAAUAUUAUUCCGACCUUUAACGGCCCAGUUAUUCGGAAUCGAUGUUGUCCAUCAACAUUUCUACCUUUCAACUACUUUUUCCAAGAAAUCCAAAAAGAAGAGUCCGAAAUGGAAGAAAUGGGUUGUAAAAAUGAGCUCUUAAGAAUGAAUUUCAACAAUCUUCAUGCUAAGGAGACAUUUCUUUAUCUGUGAUCUUAAGCUCUCCAGGCUCUCCAAAUAACCUCAUGGGCAGAGGCUAUUAACUUGUAAAAAAAGAAAUUUAUGUUGCCUAUCGUUGGUUUUAUAUCAUCAGUAUUUUCAGAUGUUACUUUCGGGUUGUUAAUGAUGAUAAAGAUAAAUUUAUCGGGACAAUAAUUUUGGAUUCAAGUUUGAUAUAAUGUGCUCUACUCGCUACUGUGGCAUCGAAACGAUGAAUGAAAUUGUUGUGCAACCUGACUAAUCGUUCCUAUCGAAUUGUCUUUUUUUCUUCUAAAUUUUUUAAAGACCAUUUUUACAUUUUAUUGGUCAAAGGAUUGCACAGAAAAGGUUGUUGAGUUCAUUCCUUUAAGGGCAGGAAGAAGAAGCAACGCAAAUUGCUGUAAAACGAAUGCAUUUACUCACAUUUUUCCAACUCUCAAAACUCCCUCUCUCAUAAUGAAUUGAAAAAAAACCAAAAAAAAUACAAAUUACUAUAAAAUAUACAUAAUACUUUUCAAUAUCGACCAAAUAAGAAUGGGGCCAAUCAAGGACGAUUGAUAUUUGUUAUCAACCAAACAACGAAAUGUUUUUAACUUGUUUUGAAAUGUAACCAAGUUUAUAUAUAAAAAAAAUUAUUUCUUGAUCUGAUUUAUUAA